CCGGCGCGGCCCGGCGCGGCCCGGCUCCCCCUGGUGGUGAGGAGCCUCCGUGACCGCACAGCGCGAGCUAGCCAAGCGUGCGCCCACUUCCUAGAGAUGGGGACCUGCGAGCAGGCUUGCAGGCGUCUCCUGUAUGUCACACAUCCAAGGAGGAAACGCACCUGUGUGCAUCAGAGGGGGCUCUCUGUAGACGUCUCUCCUCCCACUGCACAGAGCUGCAGAGUUCUCUGGCAACCCAAUCUGAAGUAUUACUAUAUCCACAGCAACCACAGCAACUAGAACCCCCACCAUCCCGACCACCACCACUGCUACCAGCAUGGAUCACGAGCUCACCGUGGACCACAUCUGGUGCCCCCAGAUGGAAUCCGUCGGUGUUCAAAUCCCUAGGAUUAUGAUUCCUGAAAAGUCCAUCCACGUGCUCCCGGUUAAGAAACACUGGCUGGGGUGGCUAAGAAACACCCUUGUAUUUCUUGAGUAUAAGCUGGGGUCAACACCCAGAAAAGAUGAGACCACCAAGUCCUGGUGUGCCUAAGUAACACGCUCAAGGAGAUGGUGUGAACCCCUGAGGCAGGUGGACCAGAGCCCACACUGCUCUUCACGACUAGUCACCUGUGCCCCUCAUCAGACACCUCCUGGGAAGGCCGUGCCUGAGUGGAGUCCAGGUUGUUUUCUGUGCCCAUAGAGGCGGCAGAAUAUUUGCUCCUGGCCUUCAGAGAAUCCAAACAGAAACACUUACGUAUCCUUAAAUGCACUCACAAAAAAGGGCAACUAGUUCAGCUCUGAGAAGGACAGAUUCCGAUCUAUAAAAUAUUGACCCCAUAAGGUGGCAAGGAUAAAUACAAUAAUGUAUAUGGAAGACCUCUGUGCUCUUGAAAGCAGAGAGCAGAAGCACAAAGACUUGCAGGAGCUGGGCAGGGACCAUAAAUGAUUUUUCUAUCCAAGGGGAAUGGCGGUGCACAGGGAAUCCCCGCCACAUUUCAAAAAGCAGCAGCUGCUCAGUUCUAACAGGCUGUUACUGCCCGAGAUUUGGAAGGAAGCUCUCAGUACCGCCAACACUUCUGAUUUUUAAGAAGAAAUCUUGUUUCAAAAUAUUGUCCCACCCAAUUGUUUGUUGUCAUGUAUGGAUCAAACAAAACAGCAGGAAACUGGGAGAGGGCUUUGGCCUGGAAUCUGCCAGUUUGCAGCCUCUGCCUUAGAAAGGGCUUCGGGAAGGCCGGCUUUGUAGUUAGAGAAGCAGAAUCUCACAAAGCAAACCACCUAAGGGCCGAGGAAUUUGGAGUUGGCAGAAGCGUCCUCCCUGGGAGGGUGCGGUUGUAGCGGGCUCAGGAGAAGGAGACCGAGGACCGUCUGAAGACAGGGAAACAAACAUCAGAGUGAGCGUCACCAGGCAGGCAGAAAAUUAGAAGUGUCGGAAUCGAUCUGCUCUUCAGAGCCAGAGGACUCAAUCAAGGUGGAAAACAGUAAAGAGCAAACUAAAAUCAGCGAGCUCCAAAUGGUUUGUUUGGGGCACUGGCUCGAAAAAGGAGUCGCAUAAGAUGGUGCCGUCUUCCGCGGCCCUUUCGUUUUCUCACUUCCCCAAAAGCCGAGGAAGACAAAACAAAACACUCUCCCUUCACAUCGAACUUUGUGAAGGAUUCUCUCAUCCUCUCGCUAAGAACCUUUUAUGACUUUCCCAGCUAUAUUCAAGGAGAUAAAAGACAAACUCAAAAAUUUCAGCAGAUAACCAGAACCUAUGAAACACAUUUCAGAAGGAUAAAAUAGAAAUCGAAACAUAAAAAAAAAAGCCUGCAGUAAACCGUCUGUCCUCCAAACCUGUUUUACCCAGUCUUCCUCAUCCUCUGAUGGCAAUUCUGUCUUUCUAAUUGUUCAGGCCCGUUGGAAUCAGUGCUGACUGCGCACUCUGUCAACGCUCCACACUUGAUCCAUCAGGAAAUCCGAUCGGCUCCACCUUCAAAUUAUACCUGAAAUCCAAGCACUUCCUUCAGCUCUGCUACCAAUACCUUCACUGAGUCAGCGGUGUCUCACCUGGCUCAUCGCAGGGGCCUCCUGGUUGUUCUCCAGCUUCUACCUAGGCCCCUACAUCAGUAAGAAUAGGCUACCUGUGGAGCAGAAAUAAUUAUCAAUCUGUCAGUCACUUAACCAGCAAAGUUACGAGAACACUCACUCUCACGGUUGAAAUAGGUUAGUUGGUGGAGGGACUCUGUUCACCUCUUGCCCACCCAGACAGAUGAGCAGCCACCAUUGCCAUCACGUGGUGCUGGCAGAACUGCCCAGAGGCCCUGGAAGGAUCCCCGGAAGUGAAACGUGUGACAUCUGGUUACACCUCACUGGCCAAGCCAGUCACAGGAGGGUACAAUCCAGCCGUGUCCCAGGAGAAGCAGACAUACUCUGUGGAUACACGAAGGACCAGCACACACCCCUAGGAUCUGUUCUCAGCCCAGCAGACUGAGCCAUCUUUUUAAGACCUAAGCUGGAAGGUGUCACCUUCCUGCCCUCUAUUUCCUUGAGUCAAACAAAGCCAGAGCUCCCGUGAUGACGGCAAGGUGCCACAUGACCCCAUGCCCCAUUAUGUCUCUGGUCCCGUGUGUCCUACUUUCUGUUCCUUUGCUCACUCCAUUCCUGAGCCAUUGAGCUUCCUGCUUCCUGUUCCUCAGACAAGCCAGGUGCAGUCCCAUCUUUGGGCUUCUGCAGUGUCUAUUCCCUCUGCCUAGAUGUAUAUGUGCAUGGCUAGUUCCUUCAAGUUUCCAUCUGACGUCCUUAAAUUUUGUUCUCAAAUGUCUUCUUACUUAAAAUUGCAUCCGUACAUCCCUGUGUUUGACCAGGGGAACCAUACCUGCUUAGCUGCAUUAUCUUGAGAAAUUUGCUUAAUCUCUCAAAGUUUCAAUAUCCUCCCUUGUAAGAUUAGAUUGAUGGUAUGUGACUUGCUGGGUUAUUAUGAAAAUUGAAUGAGAAAAUAUACACGUGACGUUACACUCUUAGCUGUCACCAGCAUAAGGCUGGUUCCUCUAGCCCAUCCCCAGUUGUAAAAUAGCACAACAGCCAUUUAAUGGUCUUUUGUAGAAUUUCAUACUUUGGGGGGUUAGAAGGGACCUUAAAGUUUAUCUGGUCUCGUGUUUCCAAAUUAUCUCCAGAUCCUUGUCGAUGCAAACCAAAGCAUAACAAAGCAAAAAUAGAACAAAACCAAAACACAACCCCCGUCCCAAUUCUGUGGCCAAAUAAGGGAGGGAAGUUUCUCCUAUUUAUGCUCAAUUUUUGGAGAUUCAGAACUCACGUUAGCAUAUUGAAAACUCUGAGAAUCCUUGCGGUAAAGAAACCUGUUCAACUUUGUUUGAACCAACAUUCUCCAAACUUAAUUGACCACAGAGCCCUGCAUUUUCCCCUUCACAUUAAUGCUUGUUAACAUCCUGUAGAACUAAUGUUCUGUUGAACACAACUUGGGAAGUGCUGAGCUAGUCUGAAUCUCACAGUUACUUGAGAACUAAGCUGUAGACCAGAGAGGUUAAGUGCUCAGCCCACUGUGGCACAGAGGCAGGGUGAGACUGGACCCUGACCUGGACACAAUCCAGGGCCAGGUUCCUCAUUUCACACUCAUUUCUUGAUAAAUAAAGUCAUCAAAUGUGAAAAUGGAAAGACACUUUCUCCUAUUUACUGACAUUGUCAGACUCACUCUCAUGCCCUGGGUCAGAGAUCAGGGCUUUCACUGUCCAUUUUCAUCCCCUCACCUUGUUCUUGCAGCAAGAACUUUCGUUUACCCCUGAGGUCCUCCUUCCACUUUGGAUUUCAGGGUGGGUGCAAAAAAAAAAAAAACCUUUGAGAGCAAUGUCCAGGCAGAACUGUUAGUUAUUAUUUAUCUGUGCCCGGGUGUCUUAGUAGACUGUAUGUCUAAAUGAGGGGGGAAAAUGCUCUAUAAAUAAAGCAACAAUCACCGCAUGGCUCUGUCAUGUGGGAGAGCUCACAGACCAAAAUCUGCGACAGAUGAGCUGUCAUUGCCUAGACCCCCUCCCCACCCUUAAAGCCUACCUACCACAUGCUCAUGCCUUCUUUAUCCUUUUCUCCUCUCCUGGGCAACGGGAUGUGACAGGUGGACAUUUUCUGAGUAUAAACGUUUUCAAACGAGGUGGAUGGGCUGGGUCCAUGGGCUGAACAUAUACUGUUGGGAAGCUUAGCUCCUGGCUGAGUGUUAACGAUGCUUUCUUCCCCAGCGUGCCCUGGUUUGUUUAAGAACAGUCUAUGAGCGCUUCCUCUGGAGCCGUGUCUGUAUCUCUGUUGUCAUUCAUGUCGAUGAAGAUUAUGUAUCUCAGUAUGUACUGUAUUCUCAGACAUUGUGACAUUAGUUGCAAAAUGAUGUCUCUGAUUGUCACUGGGUUGUAUGUAUUACAUACUUUCUUCUCGGAUCUUUAUGAGAUCUUGGUUCUGAUUGGCUUGUUUAUGCCUCACAAUCACACCCUGAGAUGUACAGGGACGAUACGACGCCUCCUUUUCCUUUUCAUAGGUAAGUUGAGGCACAGAUCAGAGAAGUGUCUUGCCCAAGAUCAAAUGAUCAGAUGUCUAGACAUUUGAAGAACCUGGACUUGAAUUCAUCCUUUGACUAAAUCCUGGACUGUCUUCGCACUCAUGAUUCCUGACCUUGGAAGGGUUGUCUUAAAUACUCCUUCCUUGUGCCUGCAUGGGCUCCUCGGUGACUUGGAAACUGCACAUGGUGGAGGCCAAGGUCAGGGCUGACAGAUGUGUAAGUGCCCAGGAUCCUAGCCUUCCAGUGAGACGCACGCUGCCAUCACCACCAUCAUGGCUGAGCAGACAGACUUCCCAAUCUAUCCCCGGCCCUGGGCUAACUAAGAGAAAGAUGUGAUCUAACCACAGUACCAGUCCAUUUUGUGUGUAAUACAUUUGUAGGCGUUAGUUAACAAGGGAUGUGUACAAGUAGUAAAAUAUAUAAUAUCUCCCAAAAUAAGAACAGCUUUAAUGUCUUAGCUUUCCUGAUGAUAAAAGCAUCAUUUACUGCAAACAAUAUGGAAAGUACAGAAACCUAUGGAAAAGAACGUGAACAUCAAUUAUUUCCCAUUCCCCAAAGGAACCCGAGGCAAACAUCUUGGCUGGACUCUCUCCAGGUACAGGUCUCGCUCACCUGCCCACGAGCCUGUGCAGGAGGUGACAUCUCUGCUUUCCGACAUGGCUGCUUUAGUACCAGCUAUAAACACAAACAAAUUUAGUCAAUUCUGGAGGGUGCCAAUGGAAGAAAAGAAAAUCCGGUUUGCUGUGGCUGGAACAUAUCAGUUGUUAAACUUUAUAAGAUCGUAGACCUCUCUGAGAUUUUGAUGAAAGCCGUGGAUACUUCUCAGAGAAAAAAAAAUCUAUCCACAUACACAGGAUACUUUGCAUAUAACAUUAAGGAAUUCAGGAGUUCUACCUGUAAUUCCCCUGAAGCCCUUCAAGUCAGAAAGACUCCUGCUGUAAAUGAAGAAAGAAGUAUUCAUAACUCUUAUCACAAUCUGUAUAUUUGUUUACUUAUGUAAUAUUUCUCUCUCCCACUAGAUUAUGAGUUUUACAAUAGCAGAGAUGGUUUAUUUUAUUCAAAGAUGUACAGGCGGUGCCUGGUAGCUAAGAUGUCUCAGUUAUUUGUGAAAUGAAGUAACAAAUGAACGAAUGAAUGUGUGCGUACGGGUGUUCCUUUGCACCAGCAGCGACUUAUGCAUGAUAUAAAUAGGAGGACUGGUUAGGGGAAAAAUAGGAAGGGGGAAGUUUUCAUCUGCUUUUUUUAUACAGAUAUAAAAAAAGAUGGUAGGGUAGGGUGCCAUUCUGUGAAGAGAUAGUAUUAGUUGUUUGGCGGGGGUGGGGAUUAUAAACUUUUCAUCCAGGUAGGGAGGGCAGCAGUAGCCUGGGUCCUUGGAAACCCUGCCUCAUGGUGUUAUCACAGGAGGAUCUUUUCAUCUACUUGGUAGAUACUGUCUGACUCAGAUGCAUGAUGGGAAGGUGUAACCCGGCACUGCUCACCAUUUUUCCUUCUUCCUGUUUAUGUUCUUCCAAAUGCCUACUUUUCCCUGAAUUCAACACCAGUCUGCUCAGGAUCCAGCCUCUGUCUCCCUCAUACUCAGUGUCUGGAAGCUCAUAUCAGAUUGUUCACAAUGAAUUCCUUAUUGGCUACAUUUCCAUGGAAGACAACGCUCUUUACUCCAAAUCAUUGGUCCUGCCAGUGACUAGGUUUGCCUCUGCAAUGCCCCUUGGGCUGCAUUCCACUUCCUAGAUUCCUAGAUUCCUUCUUGGAAGUUCAGGCUUGAAUGUGUCAUGCAGCUGUGCUUCAGAGAGAGAAAGAGGGGUUAAGUGAUGUACAGAGCAGGGCGUCAUCUCCUAGUCUCUGCUGCUUGUCAUUACCUUGUUCGGUGUACUCAGCACUAAUCGCGCAGUCAACACAAAUAUGCCUGGUGAGCUGAGCAGUGCAGAGCAAUAGACUGGACGGGAAGGUUAGAUCACAGCCACUCGAAGGGGGCGAGAGGCACAGGCGGGCUGGGUGGGGAAGAGCCCGGACGCGUGGAGUGGCCCUGAGUCGGCCUGCGGGGAAGCAAGCGGAGCUCGUCAAGGCAGGACCCCAGGGACCGCUCAGCUCUUGCUUCUCUCUCUCUUGACGUCACCGGCCUUUGAGACUUUCGAGCUUCUAACCCCAACUGUUAGAAUGAGAAUACCUGGCACCUAGUAAAUAAUCAGUGAACACAUGCUGAUUUAAACAGAGGGAAUGAUUUGAUGAAAUUAUUCAAACAUUUAUUGAAUGUCUCUCUUCCAGAGAUGGGGCUAGUGCUCAAGAUGCCAUUGUCUGUUCUAGUCCAGAAGAAGGAAAUUCACACACAAUAAUAAUAAAUGUAUAAUAUGUCGAAAGAGCUGGAGUAGACUUAAGUGACUGUUCUGCGAAAAGUGCAAAGAAAGAAGUGACUCUCUUAGCCUGCAACAUCAGGAGAACAUCUAAAAAGCGACACGUGAGUCUGUAUUUACUUGAUCCACUAAUAUUGAGCUCCUACAACAUGCCAGGGGUUGUGAAAAGCACUGAGAAGAAAAUGGUGCAAAAUCAUUUUGGACUUAAAGGAGCUCACGUUUUACUGGGGAAACAGACCAAUGAAAAGGCAUUUGAGGGGGAGCGCUUGUGUUUGGUUUACUGUUGUUUACAAUGAUGCGUUUGCUCCUCUGUGGGAGGAUUAUUACAUGUGAUCAUUCCUCCCCUGCGUCCUGAUGAUAGGCUUGGCCGUGCAGGGGCUCUGGCCAGUUGAAUGUGAGUGUAUGUUGCCUACACCAUGUCUGGUCAGGGACUUUACAUCCUAUGGAUGCUCCAUUCAGGCUCUUAUGUUCCUAUGUCACCUGCCAUGAGAAGAGUAUGUCUCAAAAGGGGGCUGUCCCCCAAGCAGGGCCUGAAAGAGAGGCUGCCCUGAGCAGAUCUGAGCCUGACCCACAGCCUGAAGCAGAGACUCAGCAGCCAGGUCUUAUCUGUAGACAUGCAACACGAGCAACAAAGACGUCUCUCUGGUUUUGCUCUAAGCUAAUGAGACUUGGGGCUGCUUGUUACACAGUGUCACUUAGAGCAAUCUAACUAAUACAGUGGUAAUAGGGGUAAAGCAGAGACCAUAGUAAGGAAACAUGAGGGAAGUUCAAAUGCCAGCCUAGAGCAAUGGUCAGCAAAGACUGCCUGGGAGAAGAGGGGCAUCUAAGCUGAGUCCUGAGCAGAGAAACGUUGGAAGAAGAAGGAUGAUCCAGAAAGUGGAGAUGCUCAGGUAAAGGCCCAAAUAAGGGAGGCUGGAGAUAUAACUGAUGGAAGAAAGCCUCUGAGGAGGAAGGAGGAGGGAAAUGCAGUCCAGAACCUUGAGGACUGACAGCAGGGGCAGCACAGGUGGAGGUAGGUACAAAGAUGCUUGUGUAGGCAAAGGACAGGAGCUUGAGACAAUUUCAGGUUGAUGUUCCUUUGGAGUCUCUGCUCAGGUAUUACCUUAUCAGUGAAGAUCCUCUUUACCAUCUUUUAAAAAUGGCCAUUUGUUCCUCCCCUGCCCCCUUUUUAUUAUUCUCUGUGACAACUUCACUAUUGGACAUACUGUGCAGUAGAGAACUUGCUCAUUUGUUUGCUGUCAUUCACUUCCCACUGGAAUGUAAGCUCCGCAAGGUUUUGUCUCUUAUAUUCACUGCUGUAUUCCUAGAACCCAGAAGUAUCCCUUGCUCACGGAGGGACUCAGUAAAUACUUGUUAGAUGAAUGGAUGGUUGGAUGAUGACUUCUAGUUUUUCAAGUGAAACAGGAGGCAAGGUCGUCUGCCGAGGGCGUUUGGGGAAGCAUAGAAGGAGCACCAGGCAAUGUUAAGAGCCCAGGGGAAGUUGGAGACCUGAGAUAAUUUGUGAGUUGUGAUUUUCUCCAAAGGUUCUUCACAGAUCCCAUGAAGGAGGGGAGGCGGAUCCAGGGUUGAAGGUUUUUCAAGGUCAGCAUAAUGGAAAGAAAAAGAUCAAGGACAUUUUGGGAACUUGGCAGCAGGAGGUGCUUUUGCUUGAAGUGUUAGAUCCUGGGGUCUUGCCUGGAUGGAGAAAAGGAAUGAAGACAGGAGGGGACAGAUGGACAGGGGAGGAGGAGGAAACAGCCCUUAUGAUAAUGAAGCAGAGAAUUCCAGGCCCAGUGAGUUGCUCAUCCUGAUGAAUGGGGCUAUGGGGGAGAGCCCUGUGUGAAAUGAGCCAAGUAAGACAGGAGAUGUGGAAGGGUCCUAUGUACCAUAUUAGGGGGAUUGUUAUGGAAAGGGUUCCAGGUUCACUUUGGACUCUGGAAUUUACUAGUUCAUGACUCCAUGUGAAUUAUUCUCUCUAGGUAUCCGUUUUCUCAUUUUUAAACUAGAGAUAAUAAUAACAUCUUUCUCAUGGAACAUUUAUGAGGAUCGAAUGAAAUAAGAUAUGCAAAUGCAGCUAGUAUAUUUAAGAGAAUAAAUCAGAUAACAUAUGAUACUGCAUAUUGCCUGCAUAGAACAAGUGUCCCAUAAAUGUUUGUAUUCUAUUUUGCUGUUUAUUUGCUUAUUUGGUUUUCUUUUUAGGCUAGAGGUUCACCCCUAGAAUGUAGGUAUGAGCAGGGUAUGGGAGAAAUGAGAGCUAUUUGAUUCAUCUGGGGAAUGUUUUUAAUACUAGACAUGAUUUCAGUAUUCCCUCCAACUUCAUCCUCAACCUUCAAAGAAUCGCUGCAGGAGGUAGUGGGCUCCCGUUAAAAGUUUUUCUGUAGGUGAAUAACGGGUCCUGAUCUGCAAACACAGCUCUGGCGUUAGUGUAAAAAAAUAGGUGAUGGGGGCUUCCCUGGUGGCGCAGUGGUUGAGAGUCCGCCUGCCAAUGCAGGGGACACGGGUUCGUGCCCCGGUCCGGAAGGAUCCCACAUGCCGCAGAGCGGCUGGGCCCGUGAGCCAUGGCCACUGAGCCUGCGCGUCCGGAGCCUGUGCUCCGCAACGGGAGAGGCCACAACAGUGAGAGGCCCGCGUACCGCAAAAAAAAAAAAAAAAAAAAAGGUGGUGGAAGAGACCAGAGGGCAUUACAGAGAGUAAUGUUGAGGGGUAAUGUAGGGGUCAUGUUGAGGUCAAGAUGCUUCUUUUGGCAGGAGACUGGGAAAAAGAGAGGUCCAUUUGACCUCUGAUUAACUUUUUGGGUGUCUAAGGAAUUAGAUAUUAGGAAAAAUGACUUGGAUUCUCUAUAGUUUAUGUUUGAAAGACUGGUCAAGAUUCAAAUCCUGAAUCUUCCAUUAUUGGGUGUAUAACCUGGACUACUUACAUCAUCUUUCAGCUCUUUUUUUCUCAUAUGUAAAAUAGAGAAAAUAAAACUCACCGCAGAGGACUACUCUGGUGAUAAAGUGAGAUUAUGCAUCUGAGGGUCUGUCAUGGAGGUCCCAUCAGGCACUAAGUAAGUGCUCACUAAAUGGCAGUAGUGGUGAUUGUUGAUUUUGGUGUUACUGGUUUCCGUGGAUCUCUGGGGUGGGGAAAUCUCUGAGUUUUACAACAGGUAAAUAGUCGUGAGCUCUGUAGAUAGAAAGUAAUGUUUGGUUAAUGUAUGAUUUAGGGUAGAUGAUAAUCUCCAUAAUAAAGUGAUUCUGAAUUACAAUGUUUUAAACAAAAGAGAAUUUUAUUCCUCCCUCACCUGACAGCACAGAGUCUGUGGAGUGGCUCUCCAUUCCCAACAAGUGGGUGUACCUCCAAGUCCAGGCAGCUGCUCUGCUCUCUCAUCUCUAAAACUCAGGGAAGACCUAUCACUAGAAGAAGAAAACAAUCAAUGAACUACAAAGAAAGGACGGGGUGACUCUGGGCAAGGGAACUUGAGUGGGAAAAAUGUCAGAGACUCAUCCAUUUUAAGCAUCUCUAUGACUUGGAAAAUUCUUAGCAAUGCAUGGUUCACCCCUCAUCUGCUAAAGCUGAAUCAGAUGUAACCUGGUCCAAGCGGCUAAGUUACAGAGAGUCCUAGAGCCAAAGACCCAGGAGGGUGAUGACCACAGAAGCCCUGUAGGUGGAGAAUCAGGUGGCCUUCAGGUAGGACCUUCGUCCUGGUUUGCCUGGGACAGCCUUGGUUUUAGCAGAAAAAGUCCCACAUCUCAGGAAACCACUCAGUCCCAGGGAAACCAGGAUGGUUGGUCAACAUUUCUUCAGGUUUUAUUUAGAAUUUUUUUUUCAUUGUUGCUUCAGUUACUGCCAAGGAAGAAGACCGUUCUUUCUCUCAUCCCUAUAAUAGCAACAUGCCCAGACACACCCCCCCCACACACAUACACCCUAGAACUUCUCCAUUGGGUUGACGUGCUAUGGUCAAGCUCUUAUGGGAAUAUCAGGAUCGAGGAAAAAUAUAAUUCAUUCAUUUAUGGAGCACUUAUUACACACUGACAGUCCACCAAGUACUAUGUUAAGCACAUAAUAUACAAGGACAAAUGAGACAUGAAUUGCGAUUCCCAAAUGUUCACAGUUGACCUGGGGGGAGAUAUCAGUAAACUGAUGAUUACAAUGGAGUGUGGAAAGUGCUGUGACGGAAAGAAGCUCAGGAUACGUAGGAAUAGAGGGGAAGGUGUCCAGCCAAGCCUGAGGAAAGUGGGGCAGGUCUCUUGGACAUAGUGACCCUGAGUUCCUGCUUGGAAGACAGAUACUGCAAAGUAAGUGUGGGGAGGAAAGUGGGGCUGAGUGUGGGGAGAGAGUGAGGGUAGGAUGAAGGGGGGAGAGAGCUCUGCGAAGCAAAGGGAGCAUCUGAGUAGCUGGCACAUGGCUUUGGAGUUGAGACUUAAGAAGCUGAGACUUAAGUAAGUUGGCUGAGUGAUACCUCUUCCCUUCAAAAGCCCAUUCCUUUAUCACUUCUUCCCACACUGGGGUGAGCUGGUCAUUAGAACUGUGCACGGGUCCUAAUGAAUCUCUGGAAAGUGAGGUGGCUGCUUCUGAAAUCUUCAACUUUAACGACACUCACCGUUCUGAGAGCAGGUGGAUGAAGUCCAUCAGAAGAGGAUCACACACGAGUCCAGAAAUGUCCCUGGAGUCCUGACUCCCAUUCCUCUGCUCGCCCAGCCAAGAAGCAUGCAGAGAAAUACUAGAAAGUGUGAGCUCUCCAAAUGUAGGUGAAGCACCUAUGAAUUCAUCCUCGUGCUCCAGAGCUGUCUCCUGCUGGCCGCACGUCUCUAACGGGGCUGUGUUAAGCUGCUCUAGGGUCCGAGGAAGGUACAAAGUUAGAGGUUCUUCCCAUUGCGUCCAUGAAGAAUAUUUAAAAUGUUGACUAAAAUAAGUAAUUAAAUCACAGGUUGCCAUGAUUGAGUCCAGUCAAAAUCCUACUCAAUAUUUACACUAACAUUUGUCAGAACUUUAAGUUGCAUGAGCUUCUUCUCCUGAAACCAGAUCCUGUCCUGCUCAAGGUCUAACCUCACAAGUCUCUUCUGUCUCAGAUAAGUUAUUAGCGAUGUCAACAGGUACUUGUGAGAGAAACACCUGGGAUGCAUUUCUUGGCCCUGACUUGAAGAAGAAUAUGGACUGAACUGUGUCCCCUCAAAAUUCAUAGUGGAAGCCCCAAUGUGACUGUAUCUGAAGAUAGACUGUAUCUUAAUUAGAUAUCGAAUUAAGGUUGAAUCAAGUCAUAAGGGUGGGGCUCUCAUCCAACAAGACUGGUGUCUUUAUAAGAAGAGGAAGAGACAUCAGAUCUCCCUCCACCCCGAAACUCCAGGCUGUGCACACCCAGAGGGAAAGCCACGUGAGACAAAGCAAGAAAGCAGCCGUCUGCAGGCCAGGAGGGAGCUCUCAUUAGAAACUGAGUGCCGCACCUUGACCUUCGACUUCCAGCCUCCAGAACCAUGAGGAGACACACUUCUGGUGUUCAAGCCGCCUGGUCCAUGGCAUUUUGUUGUGGAAACCCCAGCAAACUCAUCUGUCCCCUUCGGAAGAUGUCUUUGGUCCUCCUCAGAUGAAUCUCUUCUACCAGCUGCCACAACCCCAGCCUCUUCACUGGAUAAGGAAUAAAAAGAGAAGGACCUGUUCCUGAACCUCAACCGCCCAGAGGACAACGCUCUUGCUGCGAGAAUGGGAGCGACCCGGUCCUGCACAGACCUCUGCAUCCUUAGUUCCUCUCUACCCUGAAUAAGAUGAGGGAACCCUAGGAAGAAAAAUGAAAAUAAUUGACAAUAGCAGUAGAACUCUGAACCUCCACAUCUUAGCAGGGUUGCAGGGGUGUUUCAGAGACUAGUCCAGGUUACAGUGUAUCUUUGCUGGAAAUAUUGCUCCUUUCCUGGUCUGGGGGCAAAUGGGCACCUCUGCCUCCGAGAUCUCCCCAGGGAUCCUUUCUCUCUAGAGAAACGAACGCUAGUCCACCUACACGGGACAGCUCUUAUUUCUCAGCCAGCAGGAAGCAUCGCCAGUGAAGAAUGUUCCCUAAUUAUCCGCACACCUCCCAGCAGAGCACGGGUGUGUGAGCUGGGACGAGUGAUGACGAUGCAUCUGGAAGGCUCACGGAGAGAAGACGGAGGCGCUCCCUCGCUGGCACUUAUGAAGAAUUCAUGGAUAUUCCUGCUGCAGCCCCUUCAUUUAGCCAGAACCCUUGCAUAAGACGCAUGCAUAAUUGAAAGGCCCAAACCGUCGGCUUCUCCAUGAGAGCAGAGGCCGGCAUCCCGCAGGCGGGUGGGUGCACACACACGGAGGUGCAGCGUGGGCCCUCUGACAGCUGCUUCUGUGGCCUCGGCGUUACUUUAUAUUUAGUGCCUUAUAGUUAGUGACAGCCUAUCCAGCAUGGGGUAUUUCUUAUCUAAGGAGAUGGGUGCUGGACGGUCCCUAUGGGAUGGACAGUGUCGGGAGGGUCUCUCCAUCUCACGGGUGGUUGAUCUAGAAUCUAGGUAACUGUUUUCUAACUGCAAGCCAUGCCACAUUAUGGGUCACAAAAUCAAUUUAUUGGGUCAUGGUCAGCAUUUUUAAAAAAGAAUGCAAUAGAAUAGAAUAAAACUUUUUGGUAUACACACAUACACACUCACACACACAAUGUGUCCUGAUGUAAAAUGUGGAUCACAAUAAAAAUUUUGAAAGGAAAGUCAUUGGGGUCUGUGAACUUUAAGUCCCUUUUAAACCUGAAAUUCCAUAAUUAUAUCAAUCUUCUACUUUGUGCUGAGUGCUGAGCAAGGCAUUGUGGGAUUCGAAUAGGUUGAAGAUGGUCCCUGAACUAGGGCCCUGGUCCAGGGAGGGAAGCCAAUAAAUAGUAUACUUCCAAAGUAUACUUCGGCCAGGCACUCUGCUAGGCUCUUUCUUAUGUCUUAUUUCUUUUAAUCUCAGCAAAAAUCCCGUGAGAUGUGUAUUUUUCUUUUCAUUUUCUGGGUGAGGAGAUGGGCUCAGAAAGAUGUAUGUCACAUAGUGAUCACGGAAUGCAAGACUUCACAUGAAAUAAUGGGGGAAAGAUUACAUUCCCAGGUGUUUGCUUCGGGCAAUAACGGUCAUAGGGAACCCAUGAGCGAAGGGAUCAGUGUGAAUUGUCCCUGCAGGCUGACUGGUUCUCAGUGGUAGCCUUUGUGGACAAGGCCCUUCUAAGUUUGGGGAACAGAAUAAAGAAAGAAGCAGAAUAAAGUUGAGAUCAAUUCAAAAAACAGGAACUGCAUUCCAGGCUCUGUGUUAGGCCCUGGAACACGGCAACAAGCACCAAACAUCCCUGCCCCCAAGGAGCUUAAACUGGAGAGCAGGCUCUUGCAGAAAGGAGCAUUUGGGGGAUGCUGCCUGUUUUUAUAUCUGAGAGAGUAUUUAGGAGACUCAAGCAAUUCCCUGUUACCUGGAACUUACAGUUGUCAAUGGGUGGCCCAUGUAAAAAGCGUUCUUUUUUUCCCAGGCUACCAGGUUUCACUGAUUAGAAUAAGAACAAUUUACCGAAUAGCACAGAAGGUCUGGAAGAGCCUGGUGCUUUUCCAGAGCAGCCAGGAAUACAAUCAGGGAGUUUCUCAGGCAGGGAAUGCUGUCAAUAAAACCCAAAGUUUUAGCCAACCAGCCAGGGUGUGGGCUUGGGUGAGGUUCCCAGGAUGCUUCACGUGCAGAGCUGGUGCCAGGCAUUGCUCCAAAGACCCAGUCAUCCUCUGGGUGUCUCAUCUUUGCCUCGCAGUCAUAUGCCUCAUAUUAUUCUGACUCGCCAUGCCAGGGCGAAAAUAUCUCCCUGGUGUUUCACUGGUACCCACCAACCACUUCUCUCCAGCAUUUUCUCAUCUCUGUUUCACAUCUUCUAGCAGAGCCAGCCACUGUGUCCUGGAUUCCGUUCUUUGUCCUAUUCUGUGUUCCUUCACCAGCUUUUCUGUUUUUGCAAAAGCCAGCAAAAUGUCUCUUUGUCCGUCUCCUCUCCUUUUCCAACUCAUGUCAUUCCCAAUUCACACCUCAGAGAGUGGCUGUGAGGCAACUUUUACACACAGCGCAUGCCAACUCCCUCAGACACCUGUCAUCUCUCAAACUAAGCUCCUUUAGGAGGUUUUCCCGGACUGUAGAUCAGAAAGGCACCAUCUCACCUUGCAGAAACAUCCUUUAUAUAAAACUGCUUCUCAAAAUGAGUUCAGUGCAGCAGACACACAAAAUCCUUAAGAAUGGCAGUCUACCUUUACAGUGUGGCCUUAGGACAGGUGUUUCCAGUGGGGGAAUACCUUGUCUUUCUACUGUCUUACAUGGUGCUUACAAGCUGGGAGGGUUCAGACAGCAGAGGCGAGACUGGGGUAGACCAAUCCAUUCACACACAGCUAGUGAAUUUAUUGUGUGCAGUGCCGUGUUGUGGACACACGUACUGGGGAGACAGAAGAUGAAAGGAGAAACUCUGUUCUUCAGUAGUUUGCAGUUGAGUUGGAAGAGGGGGAUGCAGAUGUAUUUGUAAGAAUUCCUGACAGAGGACAGAAUCCUAAGGCAAAGUGACACGUGUGGUUCCCAAGUGCUCCGGGCAGGUGCCUUGCUUCUUGCUUGUUUGUUUCUCUUUCCUCUCAAGCUCAACAGGCCCACAACCUUCCUGGGAACCACCAGACAGCUUCUGGGUUCUUGGCUUCCCCUCCCCGACGCGUGCCCCCGCCUCUCAGCCUCCCCGCCUUCCCCCGCAGUCAGGAGAGGGCUCCCUGAGGACGGAUAAGAGUGGUGGUUUCAUCUUCCACGCACUGUGUUCAGGGCUGGGAAAGGCAUGCUGAUGAGU